rnacentral:misc_RNA from 1 species
CGUGGGAGCGGGCUUGCCCGCGAUGGCGUUGUGUCAGUCGAUAUCAUCGUUGGCUGACACACCGCUUUCGCGGGCAAGCCCGCUCCCACA